rnacentral:rRNA from 1 species
UCCUGGCUAGGACGAACGCCUGGCGGCGUGCCUAACACAUGCAAGUCGAGCGAGGAGAUCCUUCGGGAUGAUCCUAGCGGCGGACGGGUGAGUAACACGUGGGCAACCUGCCUCAUAGAGAGGAAUAGCCUUCCGAAAGGGAGAUUAAUACCUCAUAACAUUGCAGUUUCGCAUGGAACAGCAAUUAAAGGAGUAAUCCGCUAUGAGAUGGGCCCGCGGCGCAUUAGCUAGUUGGUGAGGUAACGGCUCACCAAGGCGACGAUGCGUAGCCGACCUGAGAGGGUGAUCGGCCACAUUGGGACUGAGACACGGCCCAGACUCCUACGGGAGGCAGCAGUGGGGAAUAUUGCACAAUGGGGGAAACCCUGAUGCAGCCAACGCCGCGUGAGUGAUGACGGCCUUCGGGUUGUAAAGCUCUGUCUUCAGGGACGAUAAUGACGGUACCUGAGGAGGAAGCCACGGCUAACUACGUGCCAGCAGCAGC